rnacentral:rRNA from 1 species
UACAGGGGGGGCAAGCGUUGUUCGGAAUUACUGAGCGUAAAGGGUUCGUAGGUGGCCAACUAAGUCAGACGUGAAAUCCCUCAGCUUAACUGGGGAACUGCGUCUGAUACUGGAUGGCUUGAGUGCAGGAGAGGAAUGCGGAAUUCCAGGUGUAGCGGUGAAAUGCGUAGAUAUCUGGAGGAACACCGGUGGCGAAGGCGGCAUUCUGGACUGUAACUGACACUGAGGAACGAAAGCCAGGGGAGCAAACGGG